rnacentral:rRNA from 1 species
UACAGAGGGGGCGAGCGUUGUUCGGAAUUACUGGGCGUAAAGGGCGCGUAGGUGGCCUGCUAUGUCGAACGUGAAAUCCCUGGGCUCAACCCAGGAACUGCGUCCGAAACUGGCGGGCUCGAAUCCGGGAGAGGGAUGUGGAAUUCCAGGUGUAGCGGUGAAAUGCGUAGAUAUCUGGAGGAACACCGGUGGCGAAGGCGGCAUCCUGGACCGGUAUUGACGCUGAGGCGCGAAAGCCAGGGGAGCAAACGGG